UCAACUGAGAACGGGUGUCAUUUUCUUCUUCAGCCAUUUUAAGCAACGGUCCGGUCACAGGACUCCAUCUUACUCGAGAAAAGACGAGAAUAUGAUCCACGCCUGGCGCCUAGUGCUGGUUGUCGCUAUGUUGACGCCAGUAGUCAUGGGAUAUCCCGAUGUCUCCCAAAAAGCUUAUUCGUGUCUUCUGUGGUACGAUCAGUGCGAGCGGAACUAUGAAUGCUGCAGUUACUAUUGCGAAGUCAGCCUCUGGCUAGGGGAUAAGCGGUGUCUCUGAAGGACAAAUCAAAGACUUCACACUUCAAGCUUACGAAUAAAGUAUUUUGACUAAGUGCCUGUUCUCCUAUAGGUUCAAUAAACGCGUUCAUUGCAACAA